rnacentral:lncRNA from 1 species
GUUAUAUUAAUAAAAUAUUACUUGUAUUUUAUAGCUUAUCAUGUUUGAGCAACAUUGCAAUAUUGAAAAUCUUGGUCGAGUUAACAAAGUUAAGGUCAAAAGGCGAAUCACAGUGGAGAGUUUGCAAUUAGAACCACCUUGUAAUCAGGUUGCUGAAUUUCUCCUUUUUCUAUAUUUUGUUCACUGAGGGUAUAUUGAUUUAGAUGUCAGUAACGUGUUUCCUCUAUCUUAAAUGCAGUUAGGCUUGUAGGUUUUCUAUUCAGCAUUGAAGCCUGUUUAUUCCUAGUUUAAAUUCAUAAAUGAAACUGAAAAUGUUGAUAUAUGUUGCUUGAAUUCAAAAUGCUAAUGUUCAGUUGCAUUGUAAGAUAAACUUCCUGGUUUACUUGUCAGCAUUCUUUCUUUUGCAAUUAUAUGGAUUGUCAUUGUUUUUCCAAAUAUUGCUUCUUUCUUUUGGCUGACUGUUUUUCUUUUCUUUCUGAUGAGUUGGCGAAUUUCAUAAUCUACAGAGCAUGGAGAAGUUCUUUGUAGCACCCCAAACCUAACCCAGACAUUAUGGCCGGAUCCGACAUGCCACAUCGAAGCGUUCAAAACAUUUUAUAUUGUUGAUCCAGAAAAACCUACUUAGUGUUUUAAAAGAUAAUUUUAUUAUAGGUUAAAGUGGAUGGAAGCUAUGUACCAGGUAGGAAACCGGAAAAAAGUAGGUGAGUCUAUCGGACUACUUAAGUACUAAGCUCCCUUCGGAUUCAAUCCUAAACAUGCACACCGCCAUUGCCACACCUUAACGCCAUGUAUAUUUCUAGGAAACCGAUUUGAUUAAGUCAUUUUUAGGAAAAGUGAUUAAUUUUGGAAAAUACUUUCAUUGCGGAAGCUUUGCUUGUUGUCGUUAUUUUGAAAUCAAUUGUUUUUUUUUUUGAAAACGUGUCCUAAAGCUAUCCAAUUUCAACAGUUAAAAUAAGUAAUACCUAUCUUAGUAAUACAUAUUAAAACCAUCAAAAAUAAUUAAGCGGUCUUAUUACAUUUAAAAACCCAAACCUCAACGUAAAUAAUAGGAUGUCCAAUUCAUCAGAAGAAAAUCAAUCUCCGAAUUCCCUCACAGCUUCAAGCCCACUAUGGUUGGGGAUUAUCUACGUGGAUGAAAAUAAAAAGGGUGAGUUUGGGGAAACUCAGUGUGUAAGGAAAACUCAUUCAAAGCCUAAGUCAGCUCAAGCCUAUUGGGCCUAAGCCCAUUCAGGUAACAGUGGUACUGGACCAGAAGCCUUUUCAGAUUACAAUAAACUGGGCCUUAACCCCUUAUUCAGAUAACAGUAUGGCCCAUAGGCCCAUUUCAAAAUACAUGUAACAUCAAUAACAUAUGCAAGCUCAUUUGGGGAGACUACUCAACCCACCAACCACUACACUCCACCCGUACCAGCCCUACACUCCAUGCGGGGAAUAGCUCAACUCACCCAGCCCAACACUCUACAGUUGCAGCCUUGCUGCUCAGUUAAUAGUAAAUUGAGGCAAAGCCUCCAGUACGUGGACAAGCCACUUUCAGUACUUCCUCCGUCAAUAUCCCAAUCCCAUGCAUCAGAUAAUAACAACAUGGCAUGCAGUAAAUAAUAACAAUCAAACAUGCAUUUAGGUCAAUUUAACCCUAGGGGUAUUUCGGUAAUUUAUCUACUAAGGGUAAAACUAUAAAUUUUUCACUUUUAAAGGUAUUUCAGUAAUUUAUCUAUUUUAGGCUUUUUCAUGCAUAUUCCUACUUUUCACGUACUAACAGAAUCACGUACCGAGGGUUCUUACCGAAUUGGGCCCGCUGGCCCAUCAUUCCAAUUUUGACCCAUUAAGCCCAAAAAUAUCGAUGGCACAGAAAUCAUGCACUUUGCAGUCCAAAUUUUGCAGCUUACCAAAAAUAUUAAUCGAUUUACCUCACGAGCAUUCGCACACACGAAAAUCUACAAAAUACCAGUUUUCGGCAUUUUGGCUUUUCGACUUUUGCCGAUCCAGACUAAGAAAGAGGGUGUUAGUUACACACCUAUUUGCAACGAUAUGCUGACGAGAUCCACACACGAACUGCCUACAAUUGGAUUACUAACACAUUAAUCUAACUAUUCAAAUACGAACUACGUAUUAACCCCUUACAAUAUUCGGCCAACAACACCUACAGAUCAUAGUAAGCUUAUAAGAAAACAAUAAGCAACUCAUGAACAAAUUUUUGUCAAUGUUUACCACAUAAUCAUAAUUUCACUGCAAGCUGUCUUCCUGAGCAACAGUCACUAAAUUAUUUAUAACUGGAGCUACGAAACUCCAAAUCAAGUGCCGUUAAUUUUCCCUGAAAAUAGACUCAUAUAUCUUCUAUCCAUAAAAAUUUCAGAAUUUUUGGUAUGACCAAUAAAUACCAGAUUUUUCUUAAAGUUUCCCAUGUUUCACUGUUUGACUAAUCUGACCACUCUUUAUUACGAAUCAAAUUUCUCAUUGUACAGAAUUCAAAAUAUGUUCUAGUUUAUUCCAUUUGAAACUAGACUCAUUAAGAUUUAAUUACAUAAUUUAUUCAGCUUCUAAUUCAUCUCCCACAAUUUAUGGUGAUUUUCCAAAGUCACGUUACUGCUGCUGUCCCAAGAAGAUUUAUUACCAAAUUCACUCUUUCACACAUAACUUGCAUGCAUGUUAUUUAAACAUGUAUAUCACCAAUCAAUCAUCACAUAUCUAUGAUUUUACUUAAGUAUAAUCUCCAUUUCAUCAUUUUAAAGCACAACAUGUUAGCCGAUUUUUUCCUUUAGCAUCUAAGGCACAUGCAUGUUCAUUUGUUUGGCUCAACUUCACCUAUCUUCCAUUUUUCAUCAAAAGAACAUGAAACAACAACCAUUUCCUUCAUUUUAAUUCAUGACCAAAUGCUCACAACACAACCAAAAAAACUAAAAUAUGCUUCAAGAGUUAAGGUAGAAUCAAGAAGAACUCAUGAACAUCAAGAUAGAAGCAAACUACCAUGAACUUAUCUUCAAUUUUCUUCCCCAAGUGACCAAACAUUCAAAAGCUUUCUCCUCUCAUUUCUCUUCUCUAACUUUCGGCUAUGAUGAACAAAGAUGGAAAAAACUUUGUUCUUUUCACCCCUUUUUAUUUUAAUAAAAUUUCAUAUUUCAUCCAUUUAAUUCUUUAAUACAAAAGACAUGAAAUGCCCAUCAUGGAACAUUUACCUAAACCAUUAUCAUGGAACAUUUACCUAACCCAUUAUCAUGGAAUAUUUACCUAAUCCAUUAUCAUGGAAUAUUUACCUAACCCAUUAUCAAUUUGUACCAUGAAUUAUGGAUAUCAAGUGCUCAUAUUGUCUACAACAACAUGAUGGCUGGCCACUUCAUGUAAAAUGGGAGGUUUGUCAUGCAAAUCUUCCUAUUUUGCACUCCUAUUUAUUUGGCCACUUCAAUUUAGCCUAUAGCAUUUUCAAACAUUUUCACAUAGGUCCUAUUUCAUAAUUUCACCCCAUUUUUUUUCUUAUGAAACAAAAAUUAACUAAAAUUGCCGGGUUCUAUCUUAAGCUUGGGCCUUUUAGAGGCCCACUAACAUAAUUAAACCUAUGCCAACAUUCACAGAAUUCCCGAAAAUUGGGGCGUUACAACUCUACCCCCCUUAAAGAAAUUUUGGCCUCGAAAUUUACCUGAUCCAAAUAGUUGAGGGUAUUGUUGACGCAUAGUCUCUUCUGAUUCCCAAGUAGCUUCUUCCCUUCCAUGAUUACGCCACAGUACUUUUACCAACGGAACCAACUUCCUUCUUAGAACUUUAACCUCUCGAUCUAAAAUUUGUAUGGGUUCUUCCUCAAAGGUCAAAUCAGUCCUUACUUCAAUCUCUUCCACUGGCACAACAUGUGAGGGAUCCGAUCGAUAUCGUCUUAGCAUAGACACAUGAAAGACGUCAUGGAUUCUGUCUAACUCUGGUGGUAACUCUAACUGAUACGCUACUGGCCCUACCCGUUUAAGAAACCGAUAAGGCCCUAUAAACCGCAGACUCAAUUUGCCUUUCUUGCCGAAUCUCAAGAUCUUCUUCCAAGGUGAAACCUUUAAGAAAACCAUAUCCCCAACCGCGAACUCUAUCUCUUUACGCUUUAGAUCCGCAUACGACUUUUGUCUAUUAGAUGCCUCCUUUAAUCGAUCUCUUAUCAACUUAACAUUACUUUCAGUAUCUGCCACCAACUCCGGUCUAAGCACUUGCCAUUCACCCAACUCUGUCCAACACGUAGGUGUACGACAUCUCCGCCCAUAAAGUGCCUCAUAUGGAGCCAUCUGAAUACUUGCUUGGUAGCUGUUAUUGUAUGCAAACUCUGCCAAUGGCAAGUAAUCCUCCCAACUCCCACUAAAAUCGAUGAUACAACCCCUUAACAUAUCCUCCAAAAUUUGAAUAACCCUCUCCGACUAUCCAUCUGUCUGUGGGUGAAAGGCAGUACUGAAAUCCAAACGUGUGCCCAAUGCCUCCUUCAACUUCUUCCAGAACUGAGAUGUAUACUUAGGGUCUCGGUCGGAAAUAAUCGACACUGGCACUCCAUGUAGUCGCACUAUCUCUGCCACAUACAACCUAGCCAACUUUUGCAGGGAGUAAUCAGUACGAACUGGUACGAAAUGGGCAGAUUUUGAUAACCUAUCCACCACUACCCACACAGAAUCUUUCUUGGUGGGUGUUAAAGGUAGCCCACUCACAAAGUCCAUAGUGACUCUCUCCCACUUCCACAAUGGAAUUUUCACCGGUUGCAGUAAUCCAGAAGGAAAUUGAUGUUCAACUUUCACUUGCUGGCAUGUUAGACAUUUCCCCACGAACUCCGUUACUUCUCGUUUAAGCCUAGGCCACCAGUACAAUUCUCGCAAGUCGUGAUACAACAUAUUCCCUCCAGGAUGCAUGGCACAAAGUCCCCCACGAGCUUCCUUCAAUAAUGACUGUCUCAAGUCAGAGUCCUUCGGAACACAAAUUCUUCCUCGGAAGCAUAAAACUCAUUCAGUAUUCAGUCCAAAAUCUUCAUUCUCGCCCUUCUCAACUUGCUGAAACCGAAGAACCAACGAGUUAUCCUUCAACUAUUUUUCUUUAAUCUGUUCAGUCCAAAUAGGCCUCACUUACAAUUCUGCUAACAGACUUCCAUCAUCAAACAGACUCAAACGUGCAAACAAGGCUCUAAAAUCAGAAACAACCCUUCGACUCAACGCAUCAACCACCAUGUUAUCCUUACCUGGGUGGUACUCAAUCGAACAGUCGUAAUCCUUAAGUAACUCUACCCAUCUUCGUUGACUAAGGUUUAACUCUUUCUGAGUUAACAGAUACUUUAAGCUCUUAUGGUUCGUGUAUAUAAUACACUUUUCUCCAUAUAAGUAAUGUCUCUAGAUUUUCAACGCGAAGAUCACUGCUUCUAGCUCUAAGUCGUGCGUAGGGUAGUUCGCUUCAUGAGACUUAAGCUGUCGCGAAGCAUAAGCGACCACCUUACCCUAUUGCAUCAGUAUACAUCCUAACCCCACAUGUGACGCAUCGCUGUACACAGUGAAGUCCUUCCCAAAUUCUGGUUGAAUCAACACUGGUGCUUCAGUCAACACCUUUUUCAAAUGGUCAAAAGCUUUUUGCUGACUCUCAGUCCAAACAAAUGCUACCCAUUUCCUUAACAGUUUCAUCAAUGGUGCAGCAAUCAGAGAAAAUCCUUCUACGAACCUUCGGUAAUAGCUUGCCAAACCCAGAAAACUCUAAAUUUCUGAUACUGAUUUUGGUGGCUUCCAUCCCAGAACUACCUCAACUUUUCGAGGAUCCAUUUUAAUUCCUUCAGCAGAAACCACAUGACCUAAAAAAGUCACUUCUCGCAACCAAAAUUCACACUUACUAAACUUUACAUACAGUUCCUUCUCUCUCAGCACUUGCAGCACAAUACGUAGAUGCUCCUCAUGUUUCUCCUCGGUUUUCGAGUAUACCAGAAUAUCAUCGAUAAAAACUACCACGAAUCGAUCCAAGUAAGGUUGGAACACUCGAUUCAUCAGAUCCAUGAAAGCGGCAGGUGCGUUCGUCAACCCAAACGGCAUAACCAGGAACUCAUAAUGACCAUAUCGAGUCCUGAAUGCUGUCUUAUGAAUAUCCACUUCCUUUACUCUUAACUGAUGGUAUCCAGAUCGAAUGUCAAUCUUGGAAAAUACCGAAGCUCCUCUAAGUUGGUCAAAUAAAUCAUCAAUCCUUGGCAGAGGGUAUUUGUUCUUUAUCGUUAGUUUGUUCAACUGGCGGUAAUCGAUGCACAUGCGCAUUGUCCCGUCCUUUUUCUUCAAAAAUAGCACCGGUGCUCCCCAUGAAGACACGCUUGGCUUAAUGAAGCCCCUAUCCAACAACUCUUGAAUUUGAGCCUUUAACUCCACUAACUUCUUCAGUGCCAGCCUAUACGGUGCGAUGGACACAGGCGCCGUUCCAGGAAACAAAUCUAUUCCAAACUCAACUUCUCGGUUUGGAGGCAAUCCUAGAAGCUCCUCCGAAAAAACAUCUUGGAACUCCUUUACGGUCUUAAUCUUAUCCACUGUCAGUCUCUCCUCUUCUGACUGACUUACAAAUGCCAAAUAGACCUCACAACCUUUCCGAAUCCACUUUUCGGCUCUUAAUGCCGACACCACAUUGGAUAAAUAAUCCCUUCGCUCACCUAUCACCAUAACCUCCUCAUCCUUUGUGGUCCUUAACACCAUUCGUUUAGCAGCACAAUCCAGAGUCGCUUUGUGCUUAACAAGCCAGUCCAUUCCCAAAAUGAGAUCAAUCUCUCUGAACGGUAACUCCAUCAAAUCUCCAGGGAAAAUCUUACCUUGAGUUUCUAAGGGUACAUCCCUAUACAGUUUGUCUACCCUAACCGAGUGACCCAAAGGACUUAGUACAGAUACCCCACUCACAAUCUCCUCAGAGUGCACACCCAAAGACCAGAUAUGGCACAUGCAACAUAGGAAUGAGUAGAUCCAACAUCCACCAAGGCAGUAUACGGCAUGCUAGAAAUAAAAAACGUACCAGUUAUGACGUCGGGUGCGUCACCCUCCUCGCGGCGACGAGCAGCAUAUACCAAAGCUGGCUGACGAGCUUCAGUGUUAACAGUACCCUUACCACGUGCCUCACGUCCAUGGCCAUUGCCACCGCAACCUCGGCCAUGUCUUCUCGACGGCGACGGUCCACCUCGCACUGUUUGCACGGGUUGCACAGACCUUUGUUCAACCACUUGAGCCUGAGCUGGCCUCUUAGGACAAUCCCUGAUCUUAUGUUCCUUUGAUCCACAACGAAGACAAGCCCUAGAACGUUUCCAACAUUCCCCCAGAUGUAUUCUACCACAAUCUCCACAAGCUUGUGGUCUAACAGUAUUCACCAAAACCGCUCGAAGUGGUUCUUCCAUCUUAGCUCUCUUAACAUUCCGGUUUGCAGCACCAGUUGGUCCAGCAUCUCUCCUGAAUCGAUUUUGAUCCCUGUCACGGUUCCUUCGUUCAGCUUGCUUCUCUUCGGCUAUCUUAGCCUUUUCUACCAGUGCAGCAAAAUCGCGCUCUCUUUGCGGAGCUAUGAGCACCCUUAGCUCAUCCCUGAGGCCAUCCUCAAAGCGAACACUGUACUCGUAUUCAGUAGAGGCAAUACCAUUAGCAUACCGGCUCAAUCGCAGAAACUCUGCCUCAUAUUCAGCAACGGUCUUACCACCCUAGGUUAGGUUCAGGAAUUCCUUCCUUCGCGCAUCCACAUAGCUAGCUCCAACAUAUUUCUCCUUGAAGGAUUGCUUAAACAACUCCCAAGUUACCUUCUCAGCUGGGGUACCCUCUCUCACAGUGAUCCACCACUGAUACGCCUCGUCCCGUAGUAAGGAUACUGCUCCUUUUAACUUUUUCUCUACUGAGCAGUCCAAGUCAUCCGUAAUCCGCUCCAUGGCUUCCAGCCAGUACUCAGCCACAUUUGGGGCUACUCCAGAUACACCCCUAAAAACUUCCACUCCGUUGGCCCGGAGUCGCUCAGAAAUAGACCCCCUGGUCAUGGGCCCGAUAUUAGCUCUAGCUACCCUUUCCAAAACUCUUAACAUGGCCUGGGACAGAGCGUCAUCCCCCGUGGCCUGAUCAUACGGCCCAUUCUCAUCCACCGGUGGUGGUCAUGCUACUCCAGCGGGUAUGUGUUCAGAAGAUGAAGAUCCAGCUUGAGUACUACCUCGGCCUCGACCACGGCCUCGACCACGGCCUCUUCCCCGAGUACCUCUCGUACUCAUAUCGAUUUAUCUGAUUACAAAUUUUAUGCAGUUAGUUUACUGUUUCCACUGUUUAUUACAAAAUAUCUUAUGAAUAGAUAAGGUUUCAGAGUUGUUCUCGCGUAACCAUAGUUUAGCUACUGUCUCAGUUUCCUAGGGCUUAGUUUACCCUACAGUCUCAGUUUCGUAGCCUUUACGCUAUAUUAUCUAUAGUACUAUCUCUAAGCUUUAGUACUAACCACAUUACAGUUCAAUAUAUAAAACAGAAUAGUACUUACAGCCUUGGUGCCGGGGAUUCAGUGUGCCACCUCAUCACUUUUCAGAUAAACUCAAAAGAUUUAAGCUUUUUGAAAUCCAUUUUCCAAACAUUUGUGUAAAAAAAACAAGUUUGGAGAUUAUCUCCUUUAAACAGGAAAUUUAUUUUCAAAAUUCAGUUUUUUUUUAAAAAAUACCCUCUUUUUUUUCAUAAAGUUUUGAAAACCCUUUUUGGACCCGAUCCACAGCCGGGUUGUUGUAACCUAGGCUCUGAUACCACUUAAUGUAGCACCCCAAACUUGGCCCAGACGUUAUGGUCGGAUCCGA